UACGUAGGGGGCGAGCGUUGUUCGGAAUCACUGGGCGUAAAGGGCGCGUAGGCGGCUUUAUAAGUCGGGGGUGAAAGCCUGUGGCUCAACCACAGAAUUGCCUUCGAUACUGUAGAGCUUGAGACCGGAAGAGGUAAGUGGAACUGCGAGUGUAGAGGUGAAAUUCGUAGAUAUUCGCAAGAACACCAGUGGCGAAGGCGGCUUACUGGUCCGGUUCUGACGCUGAGGCGCGAAAGCGUGGGGAGCAAACAGG
rnacentral:rRNA from 1 species